rnacentral:antisense_RNA from 1 species
CUUCAGCGACCCCAGCCUCAACGGGCGGUCGGCGGGCCGGUCCUGGCCGUACGUGGCCAGCAGCGCCUGCGCCUC